rnacentral:rRNA from 1 species
UACGUAGGUGACCAGCGUUGUCCGGAUUUACUGGGCGUAAAGAGCGCGCAGGCGGUCGUUCAAGUCGAGUGUGAAAGCCCCCGGCUCAACUGGGGAGGGUCACUCGAUACUGAUCGACUCGAAGGCAGGAGAGGGAAGCGGAAUUCCCGGUGUAGUGGUGAAAUGCGUAGAUAUCAAGAGGAACACCUGAGGUGAAGACGGGUUGCUGGGCCAACACUGACGCUGAUGCGCGAAAGCCAGGGGAGCAAACGGG